rnacentral:rRNA from 1 species
UGCCAGCAGCCGCGGUAAUACGAAGGGGGCAAGCGUUGUUCGGAUUUACUGGGCGUAAAGGGCGCGCAGGCGGACUAAUAAGUCGACUGUGAAAUCUGUGGGCUCAACCUACAGCCUGCAGUCGAAACUAUUAAUCUUGAGUAUGGAAGAGGAAAGCGGAAUCUCUGGUGUAGCGGUGAAAUGCGUAGAUAUCAGAGAGAACACCGGUGGCGAAGGCGGCUUUCUGGUCUAAUACUGACGCUGAGGCGCGAAAGCUAGGGGAGCGAACGGGAUUAGAUA